rnacentral:rRNA from 1 species
UACAGAGGUCUCAACCGUUGUUCGGAUUCAUUGGGCGUAAAGGGUGCGUAGGCGGUCGCGCAAGUCGGAUGUGAAAUCUCAGGGCCCAACCCUGAAACUGCAUUCGAUACGGGCUAGCUAGAGUGUGGUAGGGGAGAUCGGAAUUCCUGGUGUAGCGGUGAAAUGCGCAGAUAUCGGGAAGAACACCCGUGGCGAAGGCGGCUCUCUGGGACGGUACUGACGCUGAGACGCGAAAGCGUGGGGAGCGAACAGG